rnacentral:rRNA from 1 species
GAGUUUGAUCAUGGCUCAGGAUGAACGCUAGCGGCAGGCUUAACACAUGCAAGUCGAGGGGUAGGUCAUUUCGGUGACUGAGACCGGCGCACGGGUGCGUAACGCGUAUGCAAUCUGCCUUUUACAGAGGGAUAGCCCAGAGAAAUUUGGAUUAAUACCUCAUAGUAUUAUGAAUCGGCAUCGAUUUAUAAUUAAAGUUCCAACGGUAAAAGAUGAGCAUGCGUCCCAUUAGCUAGAUGGUAAGGUAACGGCUUACCAUGGCGACGAUGGGUAGGGGUCCUGAGAGGGAGAUCCCCCACACUGGUACUGAGACACGGACCAGACUCCUACGGGAGGCAGCAGUGAGGAAUAUUGGUCAAUGGGCGCAAGCCUGGAACCAGCCAUGCCGCGUGCAGGAUGACGUCCUAUGGAUUGUAAACUGCUUUUGUACAGGAAGAAACAGUUCUACGUGU